rnacentral:rRNA from 1 species
ACUCAAAUGAAUUGACGGGGGCCCGCACAAGCAGCGGAGCGUGUGGUUUAAUUCGACGCAACGCGAAGAACCUUACCUGGGCUUGACAUGCGCGUGGUACGACCUCGAAAGGGGGAGGACCCGCAAGGGAGCGCGCACAGAUGCUGCAUGGCUGUCGUCAGCUCGUGCCGUGAGGUGUUGGGUUAAGUCCCGCAACGAGCGCAACCCUCGCUGCCAGUUACGAUGUCUGGCGGGACUGCCGGGUCCAACCCGGAGGAAGGUGGGGAUGAGGUCAAGUCAGCACGGCUCUUACGUCCAGGGCUACACACACGCUACAAUGGCCGGUACAACGGGCGGCGAUGGGGCGACCCGGAGCGAAUCCCACCAAAGCCGGUCUCAGUUGGGAUUGCAGGCUGCAACCCGCCUGCAUGAACGCGGAGUUGCUAGUAACCGCGGGUCAGCACACCGCGGUGAAUACGUUCCCGGGCCUUGUACACACCGCCCGU